rnacentral:lncRNA from 1 species
AAAAGGGUGACGGAGUUCCCUGGGGUCCCUUUGAAAAGGGCACUAAUCCCAUUCAUGAGGGCUCCACCUUUAUGAGCUAAUUAUCUCACAAAGUCCCCACCUCCUAAUAUUAUCACAUUGGGAAUUUGGCUAACAACACAUGACUUUUGGGGGACAUAAACAUUCAAUCCAUUGCAACUUCCAAUAUUUAGUUACAAAAAAAGCACCAGUUCCCUCGUACUUGCUGUCUCCUGUGUUUCUCCCUCCCUUUCCUUGUCCUUCUCUGUCCCUCCUCCUCUCGCUGCCUCUGUCACAGUCCUCUGAGGAAGCAAGCUUUCAUGUCAGGAGCUACCCGACAUAGAGGCCCACAUGGCAAAGAACUGGGGAACAUCCAGGCCAACAGACAGAAAGGAACUCAGGCUUAGUCCAAACUGGUUCUGCCAAUACCCACAUGAGUGAGCUUGGGAGCAGCUCUUCCCACAGCCCAGCCUCGGUUGAGACCACAGUCCCAGCUUCAUGGGAGACCUUCAGGCAGAGGCACCCAGAGAGAGAAAAAGCUUGGUUCCAAACCAGGAUAUAUGAAUGGGACCCCUGC